UAAGGAAUAUUGGUCAAUGGACGCAAGUCUGAACCAGCCAUGCCGCGUGGAGGAUUAAGGCCCUCUGGGUUGUAAACUCCUUUUAUCUGGGAAGAAAUGCAUUUUUUCUAAAGUGCUUGACGGUACCAGAGGAAUAAGCACCGGCUAACUCCGUGCCAGCAGCCGCGGUAAUACGGAGGGUGCAAGCGUUAUCCGGAUUCACUGGGUUUAAAGGGUGCGUAGGCGGGCAGGUAAGUCCGUGGUGAAAUCUCUGAGCUUAACUCAGAAACUGCCAUGGAUACUAUUUGUCUUGAAUAUUGUGGAGGUAAGCGGAAUAUGUCAUGUAGCGGUGAAAUGCUUAGAUAUGACAUAGAACACCAAUUGCGAAGGCAGCUUACUACACAGUUAUUGACGCUGAGGCACGAAAGCGUGGGGAUCAAACAGG
rnacentral:rRNA from 1 species